rnacentral:rRNA from 1 species
AUGGCCGCCUCUUCUGCUCUCAGACUGAUUCUCGGCUCCUCGUCGGCGUCGCGCCGCCAGAUUCUGGCCGAGAUGGGGUACCAGUUCAAAUUACUUAGCGCGGACAUUGACGAGAAGGAGAUCAGAAAGGAGAAGCCAGAGGAGCUGGUGGUCGCCUUGGCUCACGCGAAAGCAGAUGCAAUAUUGGAUAAGAUGCGGAACAAUGGGAUGAUGAAAGAGAUUGUUGACUCUCAAGAGACCACCUUGUUGAUCACUGCUGACCAAGUUGUGGUUCAUGAUGGAGUUAUUCGAGAAAAACCUACCACUCCAGAGGAGGCACGUAAAUUCAUCCAAGGAUAUUCCCAAAGCCAUGCUGCGACAAUUGGAUCUGUGCUUGUUACAAAUGUGAAGACCGGUACUAGAAGGGAAGGAUGGGAUAAAUCUGAAGUUUAUUUCCACAAGAUACCCAAUGAAGUUGUUGAGAGCUUGAUUGAGGAGGGCAACGUCUUCUAUGUUGCUGGAGGCCUUCUAGUAGAGCAUCCACUGACUUCACCUCUCGUGGAAGCCAUUGUCGGUACAAUAGAUAGCGUAAUGGGGCUUCCUAAAGCUCUCACGGAACAGCUCAUCAAGGAUUCCCUCCAGGAGCCAUAG